UUGAAUUGAAGAGUUUGAUCAUGGCUCAGAUUGAACGCUGGCGGCAGGCUUAACACAUGCAAGUCGAACGGUAGCAGGAGAAAGCUUGCUUUCUUGCUGACGAGUGGCGGACGGGUGAGUAAUGCUUGGGAAUCUGGCCUAUGGAGGGGGAUAACGACGGGAAACUGUCGCUAAUACCGCGUAUUAUCGGAAGAUGAAAGUGCGGGACUGAG
rnacentral:rRNA from 1 species